rnacentral:rRNA from 1 species
UGCGGAGGGAUCAUUACAGAGUUAUCCAACUCCCAACCCAUGUGAACUUAUCUCUUGUUGCCUCGGCGCAAGCGACCCGGGCCCAGCCCGGGGCGCCCGCCGGCGGACACACCAAACUCUGUUAUCUUCGUUGAUUAUCUGAGUGUCUUAUUUAAUAAGUCAAAACUUUCAACAACGGAUCUCUUGGUUCUGGCAUCGAUGAAGAACGCAGCGAAAUGCGAUAAGUAAUGUGAAUUGCAGAAUUCAGUGAAUCAUCGAAUCUUUGAACGCACAUUGCGCCCAUUAGUAUUCUAGUGGGCAUGCCUGUUCGAGCGUCAUUUCAACCUCUAAGCACAGCUUACUGUUGGGAAUCUACGUCUGUAGUUCCUCAAAGACAUUGGCGGAGCGGCAGUAGUCCUCUGAGCGUAGUAAUUUUUUAUCUCGCUUCUGUUAGGCGCUGUCGUCCCGGCCGUUAAACCCCC